CUUGGACCAGCCGGCAGCAGUUCAGGAAGCCGCAGCAGAAAUGUAGGGGAAAAGGCCCAUGGGUGCUCAUACCUUUAUAAAAAGACUGAGGUUCCCAGAGCUAAGAAACUUGCCUGAGAGAAAGGAGGAGAAGCAGUCCACAUGUGUUAUACUCAAUUCCUGACAGCCCAGAUGCCUCACGUGGAAUCCCUGAAAUGGUAGUGAUUAACACCAAAGAUUGGGCUGUUCUGGGUCUUUAUCCAUCACCUGAAGCCAGCUAGAAAAUGGCAAAAUCUCUGGGUAAUGACUGCACACAACCAAUUCCACCCACCUCAAGGGAGGCCCGGCUACAAGCUGCAGCUUUAGGGAAGGUUCUCAUUAGGAUCUUUCAGUUCGAGACUGUGUACUAUAUGACACACUGAAGUCAGUCACUGGCCCAAGACUACCCAGAUGAGAGAGAGCCUGGCAUCUCUCUUCUCCACAGAAUCAUCUUCUGAAGUUUGCUACUCUGGCACCUGGCCUUCCAAGGGUUGAGUGGGAAUCUGAG